rnacentral:rRNA from 1 species
UACGUAGGUGGCAAGCGUUGUUCGGAAUUACUGGGCGUAAAGCGCGCGUAGGCGGCUUUGUAAGUUAGAGGUGAAAGCCCGGGGCUCAACCCCGGAAUUGCCUUUAAGACUGCAUCGCUAGAAUCAUGGAGAGGUUAGUGGAAUUCCGAGUGUAGAGGUGAAAUUCGUAGAUAUUCGGAAGAACACCAGUGGCGAAGGCGACUAACUGGACAUGUAUUGACGCUGAGGUGCGAAAGCGUGGGGAGCAAACAGG